rnacentral:rRNA from 1 species
CUCAAGCUUCAACCCUACGCUCAAACCUCCGUCGCCAACCGCCCGUGCCGCAAGCUGGCAUACAAGUUCUUUGGUCCCUUCACUGUGACGGAGCAUGUCGGCACGUUGGCGUAUCGCCUGAACCUGCCACCCGACAGCCGCAUCCACCCCGUCUUCCACGUCUCGCAACUCAAGCCGUUCGUCCCCGACUACACACCCGUCUUCGCCAAGCUGCCGAAGAUACCGGACCUCACUGCCACUGAACGCGUUCCGGUCGCCAUUCUGGACCGCCACAUGAUGAAGAAAGGAGACGCCCCAGUCGUCCAAGUUCAGGUGCAAUGGAGUUCCAUGCCGCCGUCGACAGCAACCUGGGAAGACUACUACGUGCUCCGGCAGCAUUACCCGGACGUGCCCCUUUGGGCAGAAGAAGAUCAAGCUGCUCAAGAGGGGGCAAAUGUCACGCCUGCAGAUCAGCCUGCAGCGGACUGA